AGCUUUGCGUAGUGGUAGUAUCGUAGCCAAUGAGGUUUAUCCGAGGCAUGAUUAUUGCUAAGAGUUGGACGCUUAACCGACUGAGCCAUCCAGGCGCCCCUCCUUUGCAGAAUUCUUAAAUCAGCUGUGCCAGCU
ensembl:snRNA U4 U4 spliceosomal RNA